rnacentral:lncRNA from 1 species
UGAACCUAGGUUGACCAAUUCUUGGAUGAUUUUCCCCUAGUCAAUAGGAUCUUCAAACUCUCUUCCUUUGAUCAUUAGGUUUUACCCCUAAUUGAAAGGAUCCCUAGGUGACUUGCCCCUAGUUAGGAGCGUCUUGAUAUGGUUUUCCUUUGAUCAGAUCAUUGUUGAGAUUUAAGAAACAAAAGAUAUAAAGCUCAAAUUUUA